AUUGAACGCUGGCGGCAUGCCUUACACAUGCCAGUCGAACGGUAACAGGUCUUCGGAUGCUGACGAGUGGCGCACGGGUGAGUAAUACAUCGGAACGUGCCCGAUCGUGGGGGAUAACGAGGCGAAAGCUUUGCUAAUACCGCAUACGAUCUACGGAUGAAAGCGGGGGAUCUUCGGACCUCGCGCGGACGGAGCGGCCGAUGGCAGAUUAGGUAGUUGGUGGGAUAAAAGCUUACCAAGCCGACGAUCUGUAGCUGGUCUGAGAGGAUGAUCAGCCACACUGGGACUGAGACACGGCCCAGACUCCUACGGGAGGCAGCAGUGGGGAAUUUUGGACAAUGGGCGAAAGCCUGAUCCAGCCAUGCCGCGUGCAGGAUGAAGGCCUUUGGGUUGUAAAAUGCUUUUGUACGGAACGAAAAGCCUCUUUCUAAUAAAGAGGGGUCAUGACGGUACCGUAAGAAUAAGCACCGGCUAACUACGUG
rnacentral:rRNA from 1 species